GUCUGCAGAAUGCUAGCUCUGUCGGUAAAGCAUGAGACUUUUCAUCUCAGGGCAUUGAGUUUGAGCCCCAUGUUGGGCA